AUUGAACGCUGGCGGCAUGCUUUACACAUGCAAGUCGGACGGCAGCACAGAGAAGCUUGCUUCUUGGGUGGCGAGUGGCGAACGGGUGAGUAACAUAUCGGAACGUACCGAGUAAUGGGGGAUAACUAAUCGAAAGAUUAGCUAAUACCGCAUAUUCUCUGAGGAGGAAAGCAGGGGACCUUUUGGCCUUGCGUUAUUCGAGCGGCCGAUAUCUGAUUAGCUAGUUGGUGGGGUAAAGGCCUACCAAGGCGACGAUCAGUAGCGGGUCUGAGAGGAUGAUCCGCCACACUGGGACUGAGACACGGCCCAGACUCCUACGGGAGGCAGCAGUGGGGAAUUUUGGACAAUGGGCGCAAGCCUGAUCCAGCCAUGCCGCGUGUCUGAAGAAGGCCUUCGGGUUGUAAAGGACUUUUGUCAGGGAAGAAAAGGCUGUUGCUAAUAUCGACAGCUGAUGACGGUACCUGAAGAAUAAGCACCGGCUAACUACGUGCCAGCAGCCGCGGUAAUACGUAGGGUGCGAGCGUUAAUCGGAAUUACUGGGCGUAAAGCGAGCGCAGACGGUUACUUAAGCAGGAUGUGAAAUCCCCGGGCUCAACCUGGGAACUGCGUUCUGAACUGGGUGACUAGAGUGUGUCAGAGGGAGGUAGAAUUCCACGUGUAGCAGUGAAAUGCGUAGAGAUGUGGAGGAAUACCGAUGGCGAAGGCAGCCUCCUGGGAUAACACUGACGUUCAUGCUCGAAAGCGUGGGUAGCAAACAGGG
rnacentral:rRNA from 1 species